AUUGAACGCUGGCGGCAGGCCUAACACAUGCAAGUCGAACGAGUGGCGGACGGGUGAGUAAUGUCUGGGAAACUGCCUGAUGGAGGGGGAUAACUACUGGAAACGGUAGCUAAUACCGCAUACCAUCGGAUGUGCCCAGAUGGGAUUAGCUAGUAGGUGGGGUAAAGGCUCACCUAGGCGACGAUCCCUAGCUGGUCUGAGAGGAUGACAGUCCAAACGGGAACUGAGCCACGGUCCAGACUCCUACGGGAGGCAGCAGUGGGGAAUAUUGCACAGUGGGCGCAAGCCGGAUGCAGCCAGGCCGAGUGUAUGAAGAAGGCCUUCGGGUUGUAAAGUACUUUCAGCGGGGAGGCGUUACCCGCAGAAGAAGCACCGGCUAACCCCGUGCCACCAGCCGCGGUAAUUC
rnacentral:rRNA from 1 species